UAAUACGAAGGGGGCUAGCGUUGUUCGGAAUUACUGGGCGUAAAGCGCGCGCAGGCGGUCUUCCAAGUCAGUGGUGAAAGCCCGGAGCUCAACUCCGGAACUGCCAUUGAAACUGUAAGACUUGAGGAUGAGAGAGGUGAGUGGAAUUCCCAGUGUAGAGGUGAAAUUCGUAGAUAUUGGGAAGAACACCGG
rnacentral:rRNA from 1 species